rnacentral:rRNA from 1 species
GACGAACGCUGGCGGCGUGCCUAAUACAUGCAAGUAGAACGCUGAAGGAGGAGCUUGCUUCUCUGGAUGAGUUGCGAACGGGUGAGUAACGCGUAGGUAACCUGCCUGGUAGCGGGGGAUAACUAUUGGAAGCGAUAGCUAAUACCGCAUAAUAGCAGUUGUUGCAUGACAACUGUUUGAAAGGUGCAAUUGCACCACUACCAGAUGGACCUGCGUUGUAUUAGCUAGUUGGUGGGGUAACGGCUCACCAAGGCGACGAUACAUAGCCGACCUGAGAGGGUGAUCGGCCACACUGGGACUGAGACACGGCCCAGACUCCUACGGGAGGCAGCAGUAGGGAAUCUUCGGCAAUGGACGGAAGUCUGACCGAGCAACGCCGCGUGAGUGAAGAAGGUUUUCGGAUCGUAAAGCUCUGUUGUAAGAGAAGAACGAGUGUGAGAGUGGAAAGUUCACACUGUGACGGUAUCUUACCAGAAAGGGACGGCUAACUACGUG